rnacentral:rRNA from 1 species
AUUGAACGCUGGCGGCAUGCCUUACACAUGCAAGUCGAACGGCAGCACGGGGGCAACCCUGGUGGCGAGUGGCGAACGGGUGAGUAACAUAUCGGAACAUACCCUAGAGUGGGGGAUAACGUAGCGAAAGUUACGCUAAUACCGCAUACGAUCUAAGGAUGAAAGUGGGGGAUCUUCGGACCUCAUGCUCAUGGAGUGGCCGAUAUCUGAUUAGCUAGUUGGUGAGGUAAAGGCUCACCAAGGCGACGAUCAGUAGCUGGUUUGAGAGAACGACCAGCCACACUGGAACUGAGACACGGUCCAGACUCCUACGGGAGGCAGCAGUGGGGAAUUUUGGACAAUGGGGGCAACCCUGAUCCAGCAAUGCCGCGUGAGUGAAGAAGGCCUCGGUU